ensembl:misc_RNA
GUCAUACUGGAGACUGAAAUAUUUCCAUAGACUAGGUACAGCAUGGGCAGCAGCAGUGCCAACUUCUUCACAUUGUCCUUUGUCGACAUGCUUCACACCUCAUCUGGACAGACCACAUGUAAAGUACCUAUGGUCUGGUCAAGUUUUGACUUCUCUGCUGAG